UACGUAGGGUGCAAGCGUUAAUCGGAAUUACUGGGCGUAAAGCGUGCGCAGGCGGUUAUGUAAGACAGGUGUGAAAUCCCCGGGCUUAACCUGGGAACUGCAUUUGUGACUGCAUAGCUAGAGUACGGUAGAGGGGGGAUGGAAUUCCGCGUGUAGCAGUGAAAUGCGUAGAUAUGCGGAGGAACACCGAUGGCGAAGGCAAUCCCCCUGGACCUGUACUGACGCUCAUGCACGAAAGCGUGGGGAGCAAACAGG
rnacentral:rRNA from 1 species